rnacentral:piRNA from 1 species
UGUCAGUUUCAGCCGACUUUU